rnacentral:rRNA from 1 species
AUUGAACGCUGGCGGCAGGCCUAACACGUGCAAGUCGAACGAGUGGCGGACGGGUGAGUAAUGUCUGGGACACUGCCUGAAGGAGGGGGAUAACUACUGGAACCGGUAGCUAAUACCGAAAACCAUCGGAUGAGAGCAGAUGGGAUUAGCCAGUAGGUGGGGUAAAGGCUUACCUAUGCGACGAUCCCUAGCUGGUCUGAGAGGAUGACCGGCCACACUGGAACUGAGACACGGUCCAGACUCCUACGGGAGGCAGCAGUGGGGAAUAUUGCACAAUGGGCGCAAGCCUGAUGGAGCCAUGCCGCGUGUAUGAAGAAGGCCUUCGGGUUGUAAAGUUCUUUCAGCAGGGAGGCGUUACCCGCUGAAGAAGCCCCGGCUAACUCCGUGCCAGCAGCCGCGGUAAUUC